rnacentral:rRNA from 1 species
UGGCUUUUUUUUUACUUUGAGAAAAUUAGAGUGUUUCAAGCAGACUUUUGUCUUGAAUACUUCAGCAUGGAAUAAUAGAGUAGGACCUUGGUUCUAUUUUGUUGGUUUUGAGCCUUGGUAAUGGUUAAUAGGAACGGUUGGGGGCAUUCGUAUUUAACUGUCAGAGGUGAAAUUCUUAGAUUUGUUAAAGACGAACCACUGCGAAAGCAUUUGCCAAGGACGUUUUCAUUAAUCAAGAACGAAAGUUAGGGGAUCGAAGACGAUCAGAUACCGUCGUAGUCCUAACCAUAAACUAA